GAUUCCAUUAUCUUCCUCUCACUAAAUCGAUAAACGAAUUGCUGCCAUCCCCUUUUAUAGAUUUUUGCUUUCCAGAUCCGUCACUUGCGAGUUUUGGACUUCUCUUCCCCUUACAAACGAAAGAACAACUCACAAACAGCGUUGAUUGCCCAACUCGCCAGAUUGCCCAACUCUCAGAAGCACUUGUCUCUGCUUCCCCCUCCCCAGCACGCCAGUUCUGCUCCUCCUGCACUCACAAAUGUGGCGCUUUGUGAACCAGCUGCCCUCGGCCGUUGUGUUUAUUGCUGCAACAAUAACAGCGGCACUUCCUCGCUGGGGAUGCGGGGAGCUCGGCAAACAGGGCCGGUGCCAGGCACGGCACUGGGUGGGAUGGAGCAGCAGCAGCCUGGGGAGGCUGCUCCUGGAGCCUCUGCCCCAGCAGAGAGCAUUUGGGCAAAGAUCUUCCACCGAGUGUUCAAAGGCAGCUCGUGGCACACUCGGAAACUUAGCAAACUAAUGAGGAGGAGGAGGAGGAGAGUUUAAGCAACGAGGAGAGACUGCAGGCACUGGCAUUGCUGUGGAAAGCCACGUCCACCGUAGGGAGGACAAGCUGUUAAAAAUCCUUUGGAUUUCUGCAUAUUUCAAGCCUGGCCGAGCUGCCACAGGUGACUCAGGGAACAAAGCCGUGGAUCCCACGCACUGCAGCCAGGCUCGUCCUUGCCUUGCUGCAAAAGAUCUUAGCCCGGGGAUCAGAGCUUUGUUUUGGAAGGGAUGUUCCGUUUCGUUAAGGAGAAGGAUUUUCGGUUUAGGGGCGGUGUUGUGCUUGCCUGGCUGCUCGUGCCUGCAAGGCUCGGCAGUUUGGGAUGGGACACCAUGCACCUUAGCAUUUCCCUUCGACAAAAUAAAGAAAGGGACAAAAGAAA